GACGAACGCUGGCGGCGUGCUUAACACAUGCAAGUCGAACGGAAAGGCCCUGCUUUUGUGGGGUGCUCGAGUGGCGAACGGGUGAGUAACACGUGAGUAACCUGCCCUUGACUUUGGGAUAACUUCAGGAAACUGGGGCUAAUACCGGAUAGGAGCUCCUGCUGCAUGGUGGGGGUUGGAAAGUUUCGGCGGUUGGGGAUGGACUCGCGGCUUAUCAGCUUGUUGGUGGGGUAGUGGCUUACCAAGGCUUUGACGGGUAGCCGGCCUGAGAGGGUGACCGGCCACAAUGGGACUGAGAAAGGGGCCAGAGUCCUACGGGAGGCAGCAGUGGGGAAUAUUGCACAAUGGGCGGAAGCAUGAAGCAGCAACGCCGGGUGGGGGAUGACGGCCUUCGGGUUGUAAACCGCUUUCGCGUGUGAAGAAGAGUGAGUGACGGUAAUGGGUAAAGAAGCAACGGCUAACUACGUG
rnacentral:rRNA from 1 species